rnacentral:rRNA from 1 species
GUAGACGACGAGGUUGAUAGGUUCGAGGUGGAAGUGCGGYAACGUAUGCAGCUGACGAAUACUAAUCGGUCGAGGGCUUAACCAAA